AACGAACGAGACUCUAGCCUAUUAAUAGGUGCGUGGUUCUCUGCACCUUGCACACUUCUUAGAGGAACAAGCGGCUCCUAGCCACUUGAAGCAGAGCAAUAACAGGUAUACGAUGCCGUUAUAUGCGCGGGCCCCCUUGCGCUACACCGGAGGAAGCAGCGUGUUUUUAUCCCUGUCUGUUAAGACAGCAAGCUUAGAGAAAAGUGGCUCGAGCAAAUACAGAGGGCUAAUUGAAGUACAACGGAUUGCACCCGAAAAAGUGUUGGUCCGUUAAAAUAACGGGGCAUAGAAAAAUAAGAUUCCAUAAAAUUUCGCCAAAAAUAAAAACAACAAUUACUUUUUGGUGUCAACGAG
rnacentral:ncRNA from 1 species